AAGGAUUCCCCUAGUAACUGCGAGUGAAGCGGGAAAAGCUCAAAUUUAAAAUCUGGCGGUCUCAGACUGUCCGAGUUGUAAUCUAGAGAAGUGUUAUCCGCGCUGGACCGUGUACAAGUCUCCUGGAAUGGAGCGUCAUAGAGGGUGAGAAUCCCGUCUUUGACACGGACUGCCAGGGCUUUGUGAUGCGCUCUCAAAGAGUCGAGUUGUUUGGGAAUGCAGCUCAAAAUGGGUGGUAAAUUCCAUCUAAAGCUAAAUAUUGGCGAGAGACCGAUAGCGAACAAGUACCGUGAGGGAAAGAUGAAAAGAACUUUGGAAAGAGAGUUAAACAGUACGUGAAAUUGCUGAAAGGGAAACGCUUGAAGUCAGUCGCGUUGGCCAGGGAUCAACCUUGCUCUUGCUGGGUGUACUUUCUGGUUAACGGGUCAACAUCAAUUUUGAUUGUUGGAAAAAGAUCAAGGGAAUGUGGCAUCUUCGGAUGUGUUAUAGCCUUUGGUUGUAUACAACAAUUGGGAUUGAGGAACUCAGCACGCCGAAAGGCCGGGUUUUAACCACGUUCGUGCUUAGGAUGUUGGCAUAAUGGCUUUAAUCGACCCGUCUUGAAACACGGACCAAGGAGUCUAACAUGCCUGCGAGUGUUUGGGUGGAAAACCCGAGCGCGUAAUGAAAGUGAAAGUUGAGAUCCCUGUCGUGGGGAGCAUCGACGCCCGGACCAGAAAUUUAUGGACGGUUCCGCGGUAGAGCAUGUAUGUUGGGACCCGAAAGAUGGUGAACUAUGCCUGAAUAGGGUGAAGCCAGAGGAAACUCUGGUGGAGGCUCGUAGCGAUUCUGACGUGCAAAUCGAUCGUCAAAUUUGGGUAUAGGGGCGAAAGACUAAUCG
rnacentral:rRNA from 1 species